CCUACGGGAGGCAGCAGUAGGGAAUAUUGCACAAUGGGGGAAACCCUGAUGCAGCAACGCCGCGUGGGUGAUGAAGUUUUUCGGAUUGUAAAGUCCUACCAUCAGAGAAGAGUAUGACGGUAUCUGACUAAUAAGCCCCGGCUAACUACGUGCCAGCAGCCGCGGUAAUACGGAGGGGGCGAGCGUUAACCGGAUUUACUGGGCGUAAAGAGUGCGUAGACGGGUCUGUAAGUCUGAUGUGAAAGCCCGUGGCUUAACCGCGGAACGGCUUUUGAAACUGUGGAACUGGAGGGCGGGAGAGGCAAGCGGAAUUCUUAGUGUAGGGGUGAAAUGCGUAGAUAUUAGGAGGAACACCAGUGGCGAAGGCGGCUGGCUGGACAGUAACUGACGUUGAGGCUCGAAAGCGUGGGGAGCAAACAGGAUUAGAUACCCCAGUAGUC
rnacentral:rRNA from 1 species